rnacentral:sRNA from 1 species
GCCGCUAUUGAAAAGAGAGGGUGAGAGCCCCCGCUGGGUUCGAGCUGAGCGCUUUGUAAAAAGCGCGAAACAACGACGCUUUAGCGUCGGCCCGAAGGGAAGGUGCUUGCACCGUAUCAUCCCUCUCUCUCCGCCA